UACGUAGGGGGCAAGCGUUGUCCGGAAUUAUUGGGCGUAAAGAGCGUGUAGGCGGUUCGAUAAGUUUGCUGUAAAAGUCGGGGGCUCAACCCCCGAAAGCCGGUGAAUACUGUCGGACUAGAGUACGGAAGAGGCGAGAGGAAUUCCUGGUGUAGCGGUGAAAUGCGCAGAUAUCAGGAGGAACACCAAUGGCGAAGGCAGCUCGCUGGGACGUAACUGACGCUGAGACGCGAAAGCGUGGGGAGCAAACAGG
rnacentral:rRNA from 1 species